rnacentral:miRNA from 1 species
AAUGGAUAUGAGCUGCAUACA